AUUGAACGCUGGCGGCAUGCCUUACACAUGCAAGUCGAACGGCAGCACGGGUGCUUGCACCUGGUGGCGAGUGGCGAACGGGUGAGUAAUACAUCGGAACAUGUCCUGUAGUGGGGGAUAGCCCGGCGAAAGCCGGAUUAAUACCGCAUACGAUCUACGGAUGACAGAUGGGGACCUUCGGGCCUCGCGCUAUAGGGUUGGCCGAUGGCUGAUUAGCUAGUUGGUGGGGUAAAGGCCUACCAAGGCGACGAUCAGUAGCUGGUCUGAGAGGACGACCAGCCACACUGGGACUGAGACACGGCCCAGACUCCUACGGGAGGCAGCAGUGGGGAAUUUUGGACAAUGGGCGAAAGCCUGAUCCAGCAAUGCCGCGUGUGUGAAGAAGGCCUUCGGGUUGUAAAGCACUUUUGUCCGGAAAGAAAUCCUUGGCCCUAAUACGGUCGGGGGAUGACGGUACCGGAAGAAUAAGCACCGGCUAACUACGUG
rnacentral:rRNA from 1 species